GAUGCAACGCUGGUCGGCGUGCCUAAUACAUGCAAGUCGAGCGAACGGACGAGAAGCUUGCUUCUCUGAUGUUAGCGGCGGACGGGUGAGUAACACGUGGAUAACCUACCUAUAAGACUGGGAUAACUUCGGGAAACCGGAGCUAAUACCGGAUAAUAUUUUGAACCGCAUGGUUCAAAAGUGAAAGACGGUCUUGCUGUCACUUAUAGAUGGAUCCGCGCUGCAUUAGCUAGUUGGUAAGGUAACGGCUUACCAAGGCAACGAUGCAUAGCCGACCUGAGAGGGUGAUCGGCCACACUGGAACUGAGACACGGUCCAGACUCCUACGGGAGGCAGCAGUAGGGAAUCUUCCGCAAUGGGCGAAAGCCUGACGGAGCAACGCCGCGUGAGUGAUGAAGGUCUUCGGAUCGUAAAACUCUGUUAUUAGGGAAGAACAUAUGUGUAAGUAACUGUGCACAUCUUGACGGUACCUAAUCAGAAAGCCACGGCUAACUACGUGCCAGCAGCCGCGGUAAUACGUAGUGGCAAGCGUUAUCCGGAAUUAUUGGGCGUAAAGCGCGCGUAGGCGGUUUAUCAAGUCUGAUGUGAAAGCCCACGGUCAACCGUGGAGGGUCAUUGGAAACUGGAAAACUUGAGUGCAGAAGAGGACAGUGGAAUUCCCAUGUGUAGCGGUGAAAUGCGCAGAGAUAUGGAGGAACACCAGUGGUGAAGGCGAUUUCUGGUCUGUAACUGACGCUGAUGUGCGAANAGCGUGGGGAUCAACAGGAUUAGAUACCUGGUAGUCACGCCGUAAACGAUGAGUGCUAAGU
rnacentral:rRNA from 1 species